UACUGAAGGUGCAAGCGUUAAUCGGAAUUACUGGGCGUAAAGCGCGCGUAGGCGGUUACUUAAGUCAGAUGUGAAAGCCCCGGGCUCAACCUGGGAACUGCAUUUGAUACUGGGUGACUAGAGUAUGUUAGAGGGAAGUGGAAUUCCGGGUGUAGCGGUGAAAUGCGUAGAUAUCCGGAGGAACACCAAUGGCGAAGGCAACUUCCUGGGACAAUACUGACGCUGAGGUGCGAAAGCGUGGGGAGCAAACGGG
rnacentral:rRNA from 1 species